GACGAACGCUGGCGGCGUGCUUAACACAUGCAAGUCGAACGAUGAACCGGUUUCGGCCGGGGAUUAGUGGCGAACGGGUGAGUAACACGUGGGCAAUCUGCCCUGCACUCUGGGAUAAGCCCGGGAAACUGGGUCUAAUACCGGAUACGACACUCCUAGGCAUCUUGGGGUGUGGAAAGUUCCGGCGGUGCAGGAUGAGCCCGCGGCCUAUCAGCUUGUUGGUGGGGUAAUGGCCUACCAAGGCGACGACGGGUAGCCGGCCUGAGAGGGUGACCGGCCACACUGGGACUGAGACACGGCCCAGACUCCUACGGGAGGCAGCAGUGGGGAAUAUUGCACAAUGGGCGAAAGCCUGAUGCAGCGACGCCGCGUGAGGGAUGACGGCCUUCGGGUUGUAAACCUCUUUCAGCAGGGAAGAAGCGAAAGUGACGGUACCUGAAGAAGAAGCACCGGCUAACUACGUG
rnacentral:rRNA from 1 species